rnacentral:rRNA from 1 species
GACGAACGCUGGCGGCGUGCUUAACACAUGCAAGUCGAACGGUAAGGCCCGCUUGCGGGUACACGAGUGGCGAACGGGUGAGUAACACGUGAGCAACCUGCCCUUGACUUCGGAAUACCAGCUGGAAACAGCUGCUAAUACCGGAUAUGACACGCACCUUCAUGGGUGGGUGUGGAAAGCUCCGGCGGUCAGGGAUGGGCUCGCGGCCUAUCAGCUUGUUGGUGAGGUAAUGGCUCACCAAGGCUUCGACGGGUAGCCGGCCUGAGAGGGCGACCGGCCACACUGGGACUGAGAUACGGCCCAGACUCCUACGGGAGGCAGCAGUGGGGAAUAUUGCACAAUGGGCGCAAGCCUGAUGCAGCAACGCCGCGUGCGGGAUGACGGCCUUCGGGUUGUAAACCGCUUUCAGUAGGGACGAAGCUCACGUGACGGUACCUACAGAAGAAGGACCGGCUAACUACGUGCCAGCAGCCGCCGUAA